GGCGAAAGAGUGAUCGUGAGUCAGUUUGAGGACCGGAGAGCUAAAUGGAGAGCACAGUGGACAGCGGACAACAAUUCCACGAUGCCCUACACAUGCAGCAACUGUGGCAGAGCCUGCCGUUCCAGGAUCAGCCCCAAUAGCCAUAUUCGAUGCUGAUAGACAAACCAGUGACUACCAGAGGCGCAGAACCCAUGGUCAACCACGACCGAUGGAGGCCACACACACAUAGGGUUGUAAAGAGAACUUUUGCAAUGUUGGCCUUCAGAUAUCAAAGUAUUGGGUACAAGAGAUGGGAUUUAUAUUGAAGUUGUAUAAAAUGUUGGUCAGUCCAAAUUUGGAGUACUGUGUGCAGUUUUGGUCACCUAUCUAUAAGAAAGAUACUGAAGAUUGAAAGAGUUCAGAGAAUUUCACUGCCAAAUAAUGGAACAAUGCAAUAUUGUCCCACAGCAUUUGACAGUUUUACCAUGGCAAUGCUGAAGUACAACAGCCACCCAUUGAAUACCUAUCUCCCAGGAUUGCUAAUGUCUACAUGUUUCUGCAAGCAAAGUACUGCAUAAGGAUUUUUCCACAUUACAGGGAAAAGAACUUCAAAUGCAUUCUUUAAGAAUGCCAAGAGUAUCAUGCUGUGUUAUGCUUCUGACAUCAUUUGUUGCUUUUCUCCAUGCACUGCAGGCAGACACCCCAUCACUGGAAGGGAAUGUCAAACAGAUGCAAAUAAUCUUGAGACUGAAAAAAUCUCCAGGGUCAGGGACCUCAAUCUGUAGAUGUGACCCAAUCUUGCGAUCUGACAAUGUGGUCCAAAGUGCUUUACAAUGGGAUAAAGUGCAACCAUGAACAGAAAAGACAAAAAAAGUAUGUGGCAAAACAAAGCUCCAAUGCCAUAUUCAAGUUUGCAAACAACACCACUUUCGUAGGCUGAAUCAAAGGUAGUGAUGAAUCAGCAUUUUAGGAGGGAGAUUGAAAAUCUAGCUGAGUGGUGUCACAACAACAACCUCUUACUCAAUGUCAGCAAGGCCAAGGAGCUAAUGAUUGACUUCAGGAGGAGGAAACCAGAGGUCCGUGUGCCAAUCCUUAUUAGGGAUCAGAGGUGAAGAGGAUCAGCAACUUUAAAUUCUUCAGUGUUAUCAUUUCAGAAGAUCUGUCCUGGACCCAGCAUGCAAGUGCAGUUACAAAGAAAGCACGGCAGUGCCUCUACUUACUUGGGAGUUGGUGAAGAUUUGGUAUGACAGUUAAAACUUUGAUAUACUUCUGUAGAUGUGUGGUGGAGAAUAUAUUGACUGACUGUAUCACAGCCUGGGAUGGAAGCACUAAUACCCUUAAAUGGAAAAUCCUACAAAAAGUAGUGGAUAUGGCCCAGUCCAUCACCGGUAAAGCCCUCCCCACCGCUGAGCACUGAAAUGUUCCCUCAACUUAUGGACUCACUUUCUAGGACUCCUCAUCUCCUGUCCUUAGUAUUUAUUGCUUAUUUAUUAUUAUUGUUUUCUUUCUUUUUAUAUUUGCACAGUUUGUUGUCUUUUGCUCAUUGGCUAUUUCUGACCUUUUGCUGCAAUCUUUCAUUGAUUCUAUUAUGAUUAUUGGAUUUAUUGAGUAUGCCUGCAAGAAUAUGAAUCUCAGGGUUGUAAAUGGUGACAUAUAUGUACUUUGAUAAUAAAUUUACUUUGAAACUUUGAAGAUUGUGCUGUUGCAGGAAAUCACUGUCCAAUUCAUUCAUUAAAACAGUGAUUGUUAUUUUCUUCUAAAGCAAACAGCAUCCUUAGCUUUACAUGUUGAUUCAUCGCCCCUUUGCCUAAUCAACUACGGGUAGUUAUUUACAUACAGUAAGGUAAUUAGCUUUUAAAAUUAUGAGCAGAUUGCCCUCACAUACUUAGAAAGAAUAAGUUGAUAAACAUUUCUGUGACUGUUUUGUCAAUUAAAUAAUUGUGUUUUAAGUUAAAAAAUCUUUCAUUAGGUUGACCAAUCACUAAGAGAAAAUCUGCAGAUGCUGGACAAUGAUUAAAGAUUUGCUAUUUGUCACAUGUAUAUUGAAGCAUCAAAAUAUAUUGUGAAAUGCUUUAUUUCUGUUAGUGAUCAACACAGUCACAGUUAAUCCCUGAGUGAAACUUAUUUCAGCAAAAUUAGAAAACAAGCUAAAUUUUAAAGAAUUCCAUUUAUAUUUUGUCAGAAUAUAAUUUACUCAAGCAAUGAUAAUGACCAAUAUUCCAAGACCAGUCAUCUCCAAAACUCAAUAGGGUUUUGAUCCAAAGUUGGACAAGAGUUGGAUUCCAGCGAUCAGGUGACAGUGACCACCCUUGAUGUCAAGGCACUACUUCAUUGAGCAGCAUCUAGGAAUCUUGGAGAAAGAGAAGCCAGUUGGCAUUAACAGUCCACUAGGUGGAGUCAAAACUUGCACAGUGGUUGGCCGUGGUUGCUGAAUGUCUAUUAUCCCAGCCGCAGGCACCAUUGCAGAAGAUCCUCAGGACAGUGUUGUAGGUCCAGCCAUUGUCACCAUCAUCAAUGACCUUCCUUCCAUUACAAGGUCAGACAUGAGAAUGUACACUGAUAAAUGAACAAUGUUCAAUUCUGUUCUCAUCCUCAGAAAAAUGAAGUGGUCUACAUCUGCGUGCUUCAACACAUAGGCAAAUGUCAGAUUAACCUUUGUCCUAUACAUAUGGCAGGCUAUAUAUUCUUAAAUCAGAAUCGUGUAUGAACCAGCAAGCUGGGGUACUUCCAUGCACUGUUGUCUUUAUUGGUGCUAAAGGUUAGGGUCUUAGGAUUAACAAUAUGUAUUAAUCUUUGUUCUAUACAUAUGCCAAGCCAUAAUCAUCCACAAUAAAACAGGAUUUAACUAAUCAUUUUUGUUAUUCAACAACAUUGCCUUCACCAAAAUCUAACACCCCCAAAUUCAUUCCAUUGAUUGCAAGGUUCAAGAAAGUGGCUGACCUCAUUCUGGGUUGUUAAUGCUCACGUAUAAAAGCCCAUGUUCCAUACAUAAAUAAGCAAGCUAAAAUGUUUUACUUAAAUGAUCACUUGCUUCCUUCUCUUAAUGCUGGAAGUCUAGAGAAACACACACAAAAUGGUGGAGGAACUCAUAGAGUCAGGCAGCUUCUGUGGAGAAGAAUAAACAAGUCAACAUUUUAGGUUGAGAUCCUUCAUCAGGAUUCUCCAUAGAUCAGGGGUGGGCAAACUUUUUGACUUGAGGGCCACAAAGGGUUCUAAAAUUUGACAGGGGGGCUGGACCAGGAGCAGAUGGACAGAGUGUUUUGGUAAUACAACUCAUAAGAGAAAAUAAAAUAUCAUGGGAUAUGUAGAAAACAUGUGCUUUAAUUUCAAUUGAAAAUGAACAAAUGCAUUACAACAAAAUAUCUGUCUUUGAAGUCCCAUGGUAUUUAGCUAUUUAUUGAAAUGACUUUUAAAACACUGAAAAUUAAAUGAAUAAAAUACAGCUUUUUUAAUAGUAACAGUUAUUAUUUUAAAGCACUGAAAAUUCUGUUAUCCUUCAAGAUAUUAUCAUCAUCACUCUCCUCCUGCCUGUCUUUAUUUCAAAAACGGUAGGAGAUGCAGGUCUACUUGUCCUGCUCCUUCUUAUUCAAUUGUCCCCUGUGCCAAAACUCAACAACGACCCGCACAAUGACAGAACAGUGAGAACGCGCCAGUAUUUGGAGCGCGUUAUUUGAUCUGGAGCGCAUUUUUUAUUUUGAGAACGUACAUGCACCUGCGCACUACUCAUGUCCAUCACUUAACAGAAAUGACAUGUAACAUGUAAGGCUUAUUGAAAAAAAUAUUUUCAAAUGCAUUUUUUACAUAACACAACGAAGAAACUUAUUUUUAAUUUCAGUGGGAACAGCGUUGUUGGCCUCCCUUUUUAGCCAGCGCAUCAAAGUCUGGAUUUAGUUUUGUUGUGGCGAUUCUCAGGAUGGAUCUGAGAUGUUGGUCAGUUCACUUGGAUCUGUGGCUGGCUUUGUUGAUGUUCAUGACGCUGAACGCCUGUUCACACAAAUAGGUCGAGCCGAACAAAGAGUAAAGCGCAAAUGUGGAGCAAUACGCUGCACCUCAACAAAGGUCAAUGUGUAGCGGUGUGCUACAUGCAGCGCUAAAAUUACGACACGGAGUAGGUAACUGCGGUCGAAGAAAAAAACUUUAUUCGAAAUCCUCAGCCUCACUUUUAAGCCUCCCUCAACCUGUCCCCCUGCGCAGAGGCUCCAAAGCUCUGUGCUCGCAAAUCCCCGCAGGCUAUCUCCCUUAGCCGGAACGCUGGCUAAUUGUGAGCCGGUUCGGAUGUGCCAGGAAAUGGGUUGCCACAAAUGUAUAUAGAGUGCGUCAUCUAUUGGGAAAACACCAGAAUUGCGGGGAAAAAACGUUAACAAGGUUUAUUAAUAUAAUUUCAUCAAGUUCUGCGGGCCGGAUUAAAAAGCUUAACGGGCCGCAUAUGGCCCGCGGGCCGUAGUUUGCCCAUGACUGCCAUAGAUGCUCCCUGAACUGCUAAGUUCCACGAGCAUUUUGUGUAGGAGUAUAAUAACACUCAGUUCGACAAAAGACAAGGCAGUGAUGUGUCUGACAAAAAGGGAGUAUUACGCGGGAGAUAAAAUCUGUUUUCUUACUUAAAUCAACUACAAGGAUUUUGUUUAGAAAACUCAAAACAAAACUUCCUUUAAAAUCAAUAUAUUAAUCACGACAUUUCCUGCAUGUUUCUUAUCAUUCCC